GACAAGGCUGCUGGCUCUCAUUCAGUGAGAGAUGUCUCAAUGAAGUUAGACAUGAGUGGGGAGCCUCAGGCAGCUGUUAAGGGAAAGAGGGAGGAAGUGAGUCUGCAUGUUGGUAGAGAGGCUUGCAGACAUCAGGAAGACUUCUGCUGGGUUAAGGGCUACUUUGUGAAGGGAGCAGGGAAAACUCUCCUGCUGUACCGCCAGCUGGGUAGUGGAAAGAGCUAGGAAGCUCUGUAGUGAGCUGGGUGGGGAGAAGUGGUGGUACACUGGGAGUCUGGGAAGAAGCUAUGAGAAAGGCCUACGACAGGUGCUGGUCCAAAGUGGUCCUGGGAUCUAGCAAGCAAGAGGCAUAUCUAGAUAGGCCUUGGCUGCUUAUUAAAGGAGCUUUGGACUGGAGUCAACGGGAGAGGGAGGGCCUGGGUUCCCCUACCAGCCUAAUGGGGAAGGUGGGGCAGAAAUCCCCCCUGAUAGAAGGGGAGACGCCUAGUGAAUCUGGAGUCAGGUUGAAGGCCCAACAUGAGGCUGACAAACUAUUGUUUGUUGGCCCCUUGGUUUCCCCCCAAAGAGGUGGAAAUGUCACCUGGCUGGAGGGCUGAGUCACAAGGAGAAGCCAACAAUCACAGAGUUGGAGCAGCUGCUAUCAGGUGGCCUGAUAGGAGAAGAGUCUGCUACAUAAUGCUUCACCACAGGGUGCAUGCUAGCUGGAGAGCCUCCCUCAGCUAAAGAAGGUUUUGUCUCGUGCCACUGGUGAACCAGAAUGGGCUGUUGAUCUGGCAUGUUGCUGGUGUUUAGAGUGGCCUUAACAUCCCUUAUGCUCUGCUCCUACCCCUCCACUGCUUCGCAGCACAAAAGACAUUGGCGAUACAAAGAGGAUGCAGUGGUAAAGGAUGGCUGUCUCUACAGUGCUCACUGUUUUUGCCUUGGCUCCUUAUGUGCACUCAAAUGAAGGAUCUCUCCUAGGCAGAGACAUAUGCUCCGAGGGAAAUAUUAGAUGAAGGAUUUUUCUGACACCUCUUAUGUGCUUCUUCUCAGACGGGCCCUGUAAAUCUCACCUUGCUCUUCACUGCUGUUGCUCUCUCAUUAAGAAUGAUCAGCAGAUUGUUAGUACUCCGGGGGAGCUUGAUGUGCUGUUUUCUGCAUAUGCCUCUCCACAUUGGUGCUCUAACUCCUUGAGCUGUUCUCCACAACCCUUUUUUUUCCCUCUUCCUUCCACACAUCUGAGGGGUAAAAGGACAGAAAUGUCAACCACUAAUUUCUGCACUGGAGCUGGGGAACUGCUUUUCCUUGCUAAAUGUCAGGAUCUGUGUCCAUCCUCCCAGA